GAUUAACGCUGGCGGCGUGCAUAACACAUGCAAGUCGAACGAUGAAACUUAAAUGAUCUCUUCGGAGUGAUUCUAAGUGGAUUAGUGGCGGACGGGUGAGUAACGCGUGAGUAACCUGCCUUAGAGAAGGGGAUAGCCUUUUGAAACGAAGAAUAAUACCCUAUGAUACAAACCCUACGCAUGUAGAGUUGGUCAAAGAUUUAUCGCUCUAAGAUGGACUUGCGUCUGAUUAGCUAGUUGGUGAGGUAACGGCCCACCAAGACAGCGAUCAGUAGCCGGCCACAGAGGCAGAGCACCCACACCGGCAUUGAGAAAGGGUCCGGCCACAUAGGGGAGGCACAAGGACCAGACUCCUACGGGAGGCAGCAGUGGGGAAGUUGGCACAAUGGGGGAAACACUGAUGCAGCGACGCCGCGUGAUUUAGAAGGCCUUCGGGUUGUAAAAAUCUUUUCUAUGGGAAGAAAAUGACAGUACCAUAGGAAUAAGGACCGGCUAAUUACGUG
rnacentral:rRNA from 1 species